rnacentral:lncRNA from 1 species
AACACCAGUGACACAACUCCAGGGGACCACUACUUUCAUUAUAUAUUUUAUAAUAUUUAUUUAGCAUUUUGUUUUUUAAUGUAAUUUACAUCAUAUAUUUUAUAGUUAUGGUCACAUGGUUGUAUUUUAAAUGGAAGAAAACACUGUUUUUGACCUCAAAAUAAAGCAUUUUCCCUCUGUACAUGACUGUGGGGACGAGCACUUCUGUAGUGCUUGGAAUUCUAAUUAAUUAAUAAAAAUCAAAUAUUGCCACAUUGAUGGCUCAAGAAAGUGUAAUUGUUCAAAUAACAUAUUGUUUCAUUUUUAAAUAUAAAAAAAUUGUAAACCUAAAGUGUUUUUCAAGUGUAAUAUUUCUGUAAAGGCUGGGGACAGAAAAAUGGACAUUUCCGUAGAAUGACCCAUUUCCAAAUCCCAGAAUACGAGACAAGAACAAGCAUCAAGUCUCAUGCUGUGAACACAAACACUGUUUUUUUUCUGUGUCCGAUUCUCUAACCAUUAGACCACGACCGCAUUAACAACAGAACCCAAACUAUUAAAUACAAUGGCUAUUCAUUUCUCAGACUUGGUGCGUGUCUGGAGGAGAUUCUCGCUCUGCUGCUCAUCUAAUCGAGCGUCUUUAGCCUGAAGCUGCUAUUCAGCAUCCAUCUCUCUGGGUGAUUGCUUUCAGAUCGGAUCUAAAAUGCUACUUAGUGCUGGAUUCUCCAUGACUGUGAAAAGAGAAAUGCUUGCAGAAACUCUCGAGUUAUGAUUAGACACGCUCCUGUCGGCUGGUCGAAGAUCCCGCUGUCGCCAGAACUACAAAUGAUGUAAUAUCUCCCUCCUGGGUCAUUGAACAAAUACACUGAGCAGCUUAAAUCAGGCUGAAGAUGGCAGGCUACGGUCAGACAGAGGCGAUUAAUUUCCCGUUCACUUCAUGCAGCUCGUCUGGCAGCGUUCAUCGUCGUGGAUUUGAGUUCAAGUUUGCCGACUGAACCCUUGAAGCAUUUCCAAACAUUUGUGAACGUGAGCGUACGUAAGAACGUAUGCGUUUGAUUACAGUAAUUAAAGUGGCUAUAAAAGUGUCAGGUUAUAAAAGACACUGAGACGGCGGCAGCAUGAAUCACAGCGAGAAACAUCUCCAUACGCAGCACAAUGUGUUUAUGUGUUAUUCUGUUCUCUCGGUUAUAAUGAAAAUGGCUUAAGAUGCAACAUAUAACAUUCUGUUUGAUACACACACACACACACACACAAUGUUGCUUCCUCUAAUGAAGCAGUCCGUCUCAUAGCAACAGAUUUAGGUUGCUGUUACAGUGCAUGGAUCCAAAUGAGUUUGAUUUGAGAUCAAUCUCUGUUAAAGGGUUAAUUUAAACAAAAAUCAUCUUAAAGAAUGGUUGACUUAAAAUUUGCUGAUAUUUAACUCACCCUCAGGCCAUCCAAGAUGUAGAUGAGUUUGUUUCUUCAUCAGAUUUUGGAGAAAUGUAGCAUUGCAUCACUUGCACAGCAGUGAAUGGGUGCCGUCAGAACGAGAGUCCAAACAGUUGAUAAAAACAUC